GGUUUAUGUAGAGUGACUUAUUUUUUUUUGAAUUUUUUUCCCCUCACCAAUAAGCAAAUUUCAGAAUAGAUUUUAUGUUUGAUAGGCAGGGCACCAUAAAGAGCUCUCUCUCUCUCUCUCUCUCUGGAAGAGUGUGAAAUGCAUGUAUUUUGAUUCAUUUGCUUACACUAUAUUUUUCUUUUCUUGCUAAUUCAUUUGUCUUUAUUGUUUUGCCCAUCUUUUCCAUGAUCAAUAAUCUGUACCCAAAACUAACUGAAAAUGCCACUACAUUCAAGAACCAAUGUGAAAUAUAUAGCCAUGUAAAAUAACAAUCCCCAUCAAAUUAUGAAGGAACUUUUUGAUAUAGAUGCUGGCUUUAACUAAAAUUUGUCCAUUGUUGCACAUGCUUAACAGGUUCUGCCCUUGGUGAGCUCUACUAUAGAGGAAGAUCUCCCAUGCAAGCCACUACAUUUUAGACAUUAUUUUUUUUUUUAAUUUCAAGAUGAUUCUACUUGCAACUAAUAUCUAAUAAAAAUUUAAUAGUUGCAGUAUUUUAUUGGGUUUGUUUUGGUUAUGGUUUAUAUUAUUUUGUGCAUUACAAUUAGUAGGAAACACCAAAUUGGUGGUUACUUCUGAUUCCUAUAAAGGUAUAUCAUAUAUAUAUUUUUUUAAUUUCUCAGUGGGGCAGUUAGUUGGAUCGUCUGAGAUCGAUGCAACUUGUUUUCUUCUUGUUAAAAAUAAUGGCAAAAGAAGAAGAAAAUAUAUUUUCCACUAACAAUAAUUUGCUGAGGAUCUCUUAGUUUGAUGCUAACCUGGAAUGGUCCAGCCUGUUGGGCAUUCACUUUCAGGUGUCAAAAGAACAGAAACAUAAAGUAUUGUUGUGCAUUGGCCAUUGAUCUUGACUCUUGAUGAGGUGCUAGUGGUGUAUGGAAACAUCACAUAUUAUAUGUGGACACUUCCAUUUUUGUUUGCUAGACCAUUUUUUGGUCUGUGAUCUUUUGAGGUUUGUCUAUUGGUUCAGAAUAGUUUUAGGAUUUAUUGCCAGAGCAAUAACCGUAUCAAUUUUAGUUAUUUGGAACUCAAAUGCUCUGUAUACUUCAUUCUUAAUUGUCAUCCUUUGCCUUUUCCCAUAAAUGUUAAUUCAUAUUUAGCAUUCAAAUAUUCAUUUAAUUUUGUUCACCUUUUGCCACACUUGUGUACAGAUUCAUCUAGAAUUGCUAGUCUAUGGAUCGUCAUUUUUUAUGAAGAUGGGAGGCGGAAGGAAAGAUAAAAUGACAGUAGAAUAGUCUAUUGUUGGAGGUUCCCUUCAUGGUGGUUCACUUCAGAUGAAUAGGAACACUGAUCAUGUUAACUCACAUAUUAGAGUUAAUAGAAGUUCACCAUUUGGUAGUAGUUACAAGGAAGCUUGUAACUUGGGCUUAACAUGGUUAUAUAAUCUUGGGAACACUUGUUUCAUGAACAGUGCCAUUCAGUGUUUGGUGCAUACUCCAAAGCUUGUUGAUUAUUUUCUUAGAGCCUACAGAAAGGACAUAAAUCCUUUGGGCAUGAAUCUGUGUAUAUUUAGAAUCCAACAAUUAGUUAUUGUACUUUUGAAAGAGCUUGUUCUGGCAUUUUGCCCUCUUGUUAUGUUUUUUGUUGGCGGCCUCUUAAAUGUGUCAUUCUCUCUCUCUCUCUCUCUCUCUCUCUCUCUCUCAAUGUGCACUUUUUGGCCGGGGUGAACUUGCUUUACAAUUUGGAGAUUUGUUAGGGAAGCUAUGGGCUCCAAGAGCGUUCAAAUCGAAACUUUCUGCUUUUGCACCUCAAUUCAGUGGCUAUAGCCAACAUGAUUCCCAAGAAUUUCUUGCUUUUUUUUUGGAUGGGCUCCAUGAAAAUCUCAAUCGUGUGAAUUACAAACCUUACAUAGAAGCAAAGGAAGCAAAAGAUCGGCCUGAUGAAGAAGUGGUAGAUGAGCACUGGCGAAAUCAUCUAGCUCGCAAUGACUCCAUCAUAGUUGAUAUGUGCCAAGUCAAUACCGUUCAAAAUUGGUUUGUCCAGCUUGCAAGAAAUUAUCCAUUACAUUUGAUCCAUUCAUGUAUCUUUCAUCACCACUACCUUCAACAACAAUGCGCUCAAUGACUUUGACAGUCAUGAGCACGGAUGGGAGUACUUUGCUAUUUCCAGUCAUUGUAACUGUACUAAAGUAUGGAAGAUGUAAGGAUCUAGUGCAUGCCUUAAGCACCACAUGUUCUUUGAGAUAUGAUGAAAAACUGUUAGUAGCUGAGGUAUGUUUUUUAGCAAUGUGGUCAAUAAUUAAAUAUUUAAUGUAAGUGUGAACUCUUAUUCUUUCUCUAUAUGUGCGCAACAAACAACUUGCAUCAAGGUCUCACUAAAAAUGAUAGGGUUUCAAGAACUAUAUUGUCAUGUCACACAUCAAACACCUCGGGAGGGACCAAUGUGAGCUAUGGAAACUUAUGGAACUAGCACGGGACUCCUGGUUUGAAAACUAAGUCCAAAAAGGCACUUUUUCACACUUAAGCUUGA